rnacentral:rRNA from 1 species
UAAAAACCCCGACUUCGGAAGGGGUGUAUUUAUUAGAUACAAAACCAAUGCCCUUCGGGGCUCUUUGGUGAUUCAUGAUAACUAUACGAAUCGCACGGCCUUGCGCCGGCGAUGGUUCAUUCAAAUUUCUUCCCUAUCAACUUUCGAUGUUUGGGUAUUGGCCAAACAUGGUUGCAACGGGUAACGGAGGGUUAGGGCUCGACCCCGGAGAAGGAGCCUGAGAAACGGCUACUACAUCCAAGGAAGGCAGCAGGCGCGCAAAUUACCCAAUCCCGACUCGGGGAGGUAGUGACAAUAAAUACUGAUACAGGGCCCUUUCGGGCCUUGUAAUUGGAAUGAGUACAAUUUAAAUCCCUUAACGAGGAACAAUUGGAGGGCAAGUCUGGUGCCAGCAGCCGCGGUAAUUCCAGCUCCAAUAGCGUAUAUUAAAGUUGUUGUGGUUAAAAAGCUCGUAGUUGAACCUUGGGCCUGGCUGGCCGGUCCGCCUCACCGCGUGCGCUGGUCCGGCCGGGCCUUUCCCUCUGUGGAACCCCAUACCCUUCACUGGGCGUGGCGGGGAAACAGGACAUUUACUUU